GGGUGUGAUCAUACCAUUGUUAAUGCGUCAUAUCCCAUCAGAACUUCGCAGUUAAGUGUGCUUGGGAUAGAGUAGUACUGGGAUGGGUGAGCUCCCGGGAAGUUCUAGUGUUGCACCCU
rnacentral:rRNA from 1 species